GAGUGGAGGGUGGACGGGAGAGGGGAGAGGGGAGAGAGGGGAGAGGGGCAGCUGCAGGGUAGGACAGCAAAUACAACACGACUAAGACAAACAAAACAGCUGAUGGAGUGACCGGACCUGUCAGAAAACAUGGGGGGCAGGUCGAACGUGAGGGGAAGAUACAAGAUCACUCAUCAUUCAUCUCAUCAGCAACAACAACAACAACAACAACAAGGUGCCUCUACACUGGGGUGUUUGUCACCAGGCAGUGACAGUCGUGUGGACUCCGAGUGAAGGACAGUGAGAAGGUGAGACGACAUGUGGACUUGAAACCAGAGCAGAGAGGGUUCUGAAUCCCUCGCUGGCCGCAUUCUUCCCUGAUUCUGCUCAAUUUCUGGACUCUAACCUGCAGCAAACAUGUCUCUCUUCUUUCUUUCUUUCUUUCUUUCUUCCUUUCUUUUUUUUUUUUGGCGUGCGCUCGACAGCGCCCCCUCUCUGUUGCAAAACGGAAAAGCAGCGAGCGAGGAGAAAAACAACUUUGAUUGGCAGUCCAGCUCGGCCAGCAAUAACAGCACAAUAAAAAAGUCGCCCAACAUUUUUUGCAGGACGGCAAAGAGCAAACGCGGAGAAAACAUGCCAGUCGGCCGUCGUCCUUUGCACUGCGUCUCUUUAUCUUAUCCACGACCAUAUUAAUGUGGCAGCACUUUACUUUGAGACAUUUCUCUCCCGAGUCCUCGGAUGAUGUCAUCCUCACCUACACGCACUGCGCCUCGGCUCCUCGCUGCAGGACAGCGUUAUAACAGUCUGCUAAAAGAAAUCCCGGUAAUAUUAAAUACAUAUUUUUAAGAAACCCCCUCCAAUCCCUCCCCGGGUCCUUUCGCCCCCCCGCCGGUCCCGUCCCGGGGACGUUAGCGUCACGGUGGACUUGUAAAGUGACAAUGUUGCAGUUCAUUCGCCUCAAUGUUCACGCUGGCAGCUCAAAGGUGUCGCGACGUGCCGAUGGAGCAGCUCGGUGUGGAAUAUACAACGCGUAACGACCUGGAGUCGAGGAGUUCAAUGGAAUCUAAAAUAAAGACCAUGUCUUGUGUUCGUUUCUAACACCGGCGCGCCAGCUGCGGGCCGUGCGCUCGCAGCCGCUGAAACGUCCCCGACUCUGGGGUAAUAAAGGGAAAAGUUGACAGACUCGACCGAAGUGCAGCCACGAGUCUCCGUGUGGAUGUCGAGUGUCCGCUGCUCGGGCUUCUCGGUUCAAACCGAAGCGAACCGCGACACAGGGAGCAGUUCGACACACUCGCCUGGUACCUGCUCCUUCCUGUGUGUGUACACAGACUGCGGUUCCUUCUAGAUGAAACCGUGGACAAAUGAAUGGGGAAGCAGCUGCUCGGUUAGCCCCGCUAGCUCCGACUGAGUGCGACUGGUCCGCUUUUCCAGCCUCGCGUACAAUGUCGCGUUCCACCGACCUGUUUCUGGACUCGCUGGCACUGGGUUCUCAGGGGGUACUCCAUUUUAUUCGCGCAGAUGAUCAUUUUCCACAAAAAAAAUAAACGCGUCUGCUAUUGCACGGACGCGGCUUCUGUCGUGUCUUCUCCUGGUGCCUCUGCUGUGAGCUAACAAAAGGCUGUGGAGCCCCCGUCCGCCCGGCCGCCGUCGACCCGUCGGUGCGCCGCUGGAGACUGCGCAGGGGAGGAAAGCUUCCCGGAGCAGAGCUGACAGCUCCGGUAACAGUGUGGCCAAUCAGCGCGCAGGGGGGCGGGGCGGGGCGGGGCGGCCCGACCGACUCAAGGGUUCGCAUCCAAAUGCUAAUGAACAUCUGCAAACAACAGCGCAGCAGCAGAGGGUGAAAACAGGCCGGACGAUCUCGGCCAGACUUCGGACUUCAUGCACAGUUCAUGGGACCGAAUGUGGGAUCAUCAACCGGCUGAAGUGGGCUCCUGACCCGCGGACCACCCAAAACACAAUAUAUGGGCAAAAGUAUUUGAUUAUGAUUUCGUGAUGCACAGCAAUGAAUACAGCACAAAAACACUGGAUCCUAAACUUCCCAUGAUGCAACUGUUGAUGUGGUUAGCAUCUUUUUUUAUGAGAGCCUCCCUGUCUAAUAAAGGCCCAAGUCUUAUAAACUCCAUGUCGACAUCUGAACCUUGGCAUUCAGUCAUUAGGUCCUUAUCCACAAUGACACAAUCCCAGGGUUUUGGUUUCUGAUUCUGCACGGAGCUCCUUCAGAGACACACAACAAGAGUAGACUAUCUUCGACAAGUAAAUUAUUUCUGACAAUAGUUUGCUCCCAGUUUGUCAGUGAAGAGUCUGAAUGACCUCAACCCAGUAAAAAUGCAAAUGAAAAAAAAAAUGCUCCAGCCUUGGUUUAUACAACCAAGUCUGGAGCAGUAACCUAACUAGAGUCAAGAUGUAAUUUCAAAGCCUUACAGUGGAAUAAAAUUAGGUAGAUCUCAACGAAUAGAUUCAUAUAAUCCAUCUUAUCCUUUACUGAAUAUAUGCAUCCAAGUCCAAGACUUGCAUGAGAGUUAAAUCUCAGUCUCGCUGUCAUAAAUCAAAUCAUUUAAAGGUAACAUAAUGAUGCAUCAUCCAUGCUUGUAUCUUUAUCUUAAUACAUAACAAGCGUUGAAAACAGUCCCUCUCGCCAUGUGAUGUCCACUACUGGCCACUGCAUUCUGGCUGCUGUGAUUGACCCUCUGUGGGUUUAUUCACUCCAUUCUUGUUUUAAUGAAUGGGGCGCUUGUUCUUUAUCAGAAAUUUUGGAAUUGCGUUGGUUCAAAUCGUGUUGUUUUUCUGUCUGAGCGCAGGAGUCGUGACUCCCAUUUGAGUUUGUUGCACUCGAGAUUCUUAUCAACUCCACUCACUCUACUAACUGAAGCAAAAAUGCAAGUGUGCACAAAUAUGAACAAAACAUGCGGAAAUAGAUUCAAUCUAAAUUAUAUAAGGGACGAAUAAGAUGCAUCUCUAAUACAUGCACUUUGAGAUUGCUUUUAGCAAUGAAAAGUGCUCUAUAAAUGAAAUGUAUUAUUAUUAUUAUUACAGCAGUUUUAAGGUUGUCAUGACUGGAGAUACAUGUAAAGCCCAUAACCCAACUAUAUACCAUUACAGAUCAUACACUAAUAACUUGAUGUAUCAUAUAACACAAGUUUCACAUGUAAAUAAAUCUGGAGGCUUCAGCUUGGGGGGAAAACAAGCAACUGUAGACUACUGUCCGUCUAUCAGAUUAACAUGCAGUUUGCAAAAACAUCAUGUGAAUCUUCAUGGAGUGGCAGGCAGAACCAGUCGAUGCCAAAUAACUCCUGUUGUAUCAAAUCAAGAAAAAAAAGGAAAAAAAGCUUGUGACUCGGUCUCAAACAUCUGCAGGGUUUUCAUUGAGGGAUUAAGUGUAGACUGAGAGUUCUAUUUGUGCCCGUCUUCAUCAAAAUCACCAUGCGUUGCUAUGUAACUUGUCCCCUCCUCCCCCUUUUUGUAGUCAUGUGUUAAAAUUAACCACUUCCUUUUUUUAAACUGAGGUGGUACAACAGCUGCCUGGACUAAACCACAGAAUCAGAGACUAAAGCUGUCAUGCUUCAGAUCUUGCACUCUUCAAAAAGGACACAUUUUAUGUUUGAGAGCUCAAGGAGAAGUGAAGAAAACCCCUCUGUCCCAGAUGGUUUCAUAUCGCGGUGAAUCUGACAUUUCCACAGAAAUUAAUCAAAACACAAACAGCAUGCACUUUCUUAAGAAGGAAGUCUUAAAGGGGUUUAUUCCUCAUGUACAACGGUGAUGUGAGGUGUGACACACUCUUCCAAAAGGCCAACUGUACCUGAAGAAAUUUGGGGAAUUCACACCCAUAGAAUAAAAACAAAAUGCUGGUGAAAUCAGUGUUUUAACCUGUAUUUCUAUUUAUCCUGUCAGUAAAAACCAGCUUGUUGGUUGAUUAAUUAAAGUCGCUGCUUAAUCUUUCUGCCUCGUUUCCCGUCGUGGACUGUAUAUAAACAGGUCAUGACUCUACAUUCUGUUCAGAUGUGGAGCAUCUAAACUAAACUACGUGCUGCUUUUCACUCAACAUUUCCUGUUUAACAAAACUCUACUAGUGAAGAAACAACACAACAGUGUUGGACCAAGAUCAACACUUCCUAAAUUGAACGGUAUUUCUCUCGUCAUAGCAGGUUUGCAAAGAUCAACCUAGUCAGUCAGUCAGUCAGUCAGUCAGUCAGUCAGUCAACACCAGCUGAACAAGGCGGAAAAUAAUCUGUCUUCAAUUUAAACACCAACAAAAUAAAACCUAACAGAAUUUCAUCUGAAAUUUCUGUUCCUAGGCUGUUUAAAUAAACAAGCGUACAGAUCUUGGCUGCGCCGCGGAUGAUUUAUGACAGCCUCUCACACAGUGAUCGCUGGAGCAGAUGGUGGUGCCUCAUAUCCGAGCAAAGAAAACAUUUGAAGAUGCAUCUUCUCUCCUACUGUUGUGCAGAGAUACACAGACAGACUGAGGUAGACAAAAGGUCAUGCCAGAUAUUUAGCAUCUAUAACCGGUGUACAGACAUUUAUUAAAGGGUUUAUAACACAGUAAGGUAUAGUUUUAGCAGAUGUGUGUUUAAUCAUGCAUGUGUUAAGGACUACAAGUCCUCCUGUGGGUGGGGGCCCAAGAGUGGCUACUGGUGUAUGAACAUAAUUAAUGAACAUAAACAGUAAAACUUGUAACAUCUAAAUGUUUUUUUAUGUUGCUAUAGUUGUUGACACAUACUACAUUAUUUAAUACUUAAAAUGUCCUCAUACUACAUUAUUGUGUGUUAUAAACCAUUUAUCCAACAUUAUCUUUACAUGCUGCUAAUAAAUGGUAAAUAGACACUGGAGGCCCAUGCCACUUGGUGCUGGGAUGACAAAUGACAAUCAACCUACAAGGUCACAGAUUUAAACAUUAUCUCACCCUUGUGGCAAGAAUUGGUACAACCUGCCUCAUUCUGAUGCAGCAAAUUGCUUCGGUGUCUCUGCAGAUCAGAACUAUUUACAUUUAACUGGCUCCCCGUCUAUAUAAGUGAUGUGAUCUUAUAUCCCAUGUACAGUGGAGGUUCAGUUAUUCAGAAUUUGCUCCACAAUAAAGACUAUGGAGUUUUGGGUUCCUCCAGCACAUGCCCAUGACCUUCAGUAAAAUGAUGGUGUAUUAAACAGAUUGCAAAGAAUUAGAAAUAACGAGUGGGAGAAAUGCAGACUCUCUUACAGGCUGUUGAGACUUCACUCUGUGUCAAACACAAAUACACAGCCUCUUUCCCCUCAUACCAUAAAGACUAAAGCUGGUACCAGCUUCAUAAAACAGAUGCCAUAAGUCGUUAUGUCUAAAAUUAGAGGAUUACAUUGAGCAUAAAUUUUCCAUCCCUAGAUUUGCAAACCAGCUGUUUGGGUGACAACGAAUAUAAAACGAGACGCAGCAGAUUCAGUUAGUGUGCUUUAAUAACAAAUAAAUCCUGAAGUUUGUGGAGUCUUCGCACCAAUGCAGACUUUGUUCUAAGUGCAGCGAUGCCUUCAACUCUCUGAACUGCUGGGUUUUUGAAAAAAAACUAACUCCUUUGUAUAUAUUAAAAAAAACAAAUAUCUAGAAGAAAAAAUUCACAACGUGCAUAAGGAUGUUAAAUUAGACAUUAUUAUUUAUUGCAUUACAGUAAUAGAAAAGAUUUAAAUGUUCAGCAGUGUCAGAAUCUACUACACAAACAGAAAAGAGGCAGUUCUACAAAUUAAAGUUUUACUGAACACCGAGGGCUUUGUCUAGGAAGUUGGCAAAAUGUUGUGGCCGUCCAGGUAAGAAGGGCUGGAGAACAGACAGAUCCAUGGUCGUCAGCGUUUCUGUCAGCGUGCUGAAACAUUUAUCAAGAGGGAGCAGGUUAUCAUAACCUUGUAUGAUAACAUUGUAUGUAUAAAGUGUAGCAGGUGUGUGGGGAACAAAUACCUGCAUGUGCAGUACAACAGGUGGGAGUCUGCGUGUAGCUGCCUGGCCAGCUCUAGUUGGUGGUUGUUCAUCAGCUUGUCAUUGACGACGACCAGCAGAGGUUUGCCUGCACCGAGCGCUUCCAAACAACU